ensembl:miRNA
AGGUUGGUGCAAAAGUAACUGCAGUUCUUGUCAUCAUUUUUAAUGACAAAAACUGCAGUUACUUUUGCACCA